rnacentral:rRNA from 1 species
CAACCCGGGAUUGCCUUAGUAACGGCGAGUGAAGCGGCAAAAGCUCAAAUUUGAAAUCUGGUACCUUCGGUGCCCGAGUUGUAAUUUGGAGAGGGCAACUUUGGGGCCGUUCCUUGUCUAUGUUCCUUGGAACAGGACGUCAUAGAGGGUGAGAAUCCCGUGUGGCGAGGAGUGCGGUUCUUUGUAAAGUGCCCUCGAAGAGUCGAGUUGUUUGGGAAUGCAGCUCUAAGUGGGUGGUAAAUUCCAUCUAAAGCUAAAUAUUGGCGAGAGACCGAUAGCGAACAAGUACAGUGAUGGAAAGAUGAAAAGAACUUUGAAAAGAGAGUGAAAAAGUACGUGAAAUUGUUGAAAGGGAAGGGCAUUUGAUCAGACAUGGUGUUUUGUGCCCUCUGCUCCUUGUGGGUAGGGGAAUCUCGCAUUUCACUGGGCCAGCAUCAGUUUUGGUGGCAGGAUAAAUCCAUAGGAAUGUAGCUUGCCUCGGUAAGUAUUAUAGCCCUGUUGGGAAUACUGCCAGCUGGGACUGAGGACUGCGACGUAAGUCAAGGAUGCUGGCAUAAUGGUUAUAUGCCGCCCGUCUUGAAACCCGGGAACCAA